rnacentral:lncRNA from 10 species
UCGGGCACUGAUUCUCAACCCUGGCUAACCACUAAAAAUUUACUCAAGGAGCUUUUAAAAAGUAUCAGUGCCUAGGACACAACACAGGUUAAUUGAAUAAGAACUUCGGGAGGAGACUCUAGGAAAGUGAUAGUUUUUAAAAUGAUUAAUGGCCACGUAGAAUCCGAAGCCACAUUGGUGAACGUUUCCUUCUCUCCUACACUAAUAUUCAUUUGUCUAUCUUGCCCUUUGAAUGGGCCUUUUACCCAGGCCUAACUUUGUAACUUCAUGUGUUCACCAUUUGGAAAAUAUCGGUUUACUGAGACGUGCAGAAAUUCCAAAUGCAGACGUCUCCGAGAGACUGAAUAUACGAAGGGACGCUGGGUAGACCACAGAAAAGCCACAACUCUGACCCACACCUGCAUCAGCCUGCCCAGGAAAACUGACCCUAACCUAAUAUCUGCAAACGCCAGCCCCAGAGGCCAGCCUGCUGUCCAGGAGUCAGGACUGCAGGAGGACCAACCAGAGAAAGCUGAAUACACUCCCUGGCCAGUUCCAUAGGAUGUUCCGAUUCCAGCUACUCGCCUCCAGUGUCCCCAGACAGCAGCCUCCGGCAGGGCUCACCUGGGACCUUCCGUUUUCUCAUCAUAAAUCCCCAGACCCCUGCCUUUGAGUCUCUGCUGGACACACACCCUGGAGCCCUGCCUUUGAGCCUCUGCUGGACACACACCCCGGACCCCUGCCGUUGAGCCUGUGCUGAACACUCGCAGUGGUGACCGACGCCCCCACCACAGCAAGCCCCGAAUACACAGCCUCUGUGUGUUCCCACUGAGUUGGUCUUUGUUUAUUUUCACACUUAAAUUACACACUAUAAAAAAACCACAGUUGUUAAUAUUGCCACCCAUCUCACCAAAAAAGCCUCUAUAUAUUGUAAAACUGUAGCAAAUAGCAGCCUUGGUGGGAUGAAGAUCAUUACAAAAGAAUGCAAAGAGACAGAGUGGACAGUCCCUUCCGACACGCAAGCCAGGACAGACACAGAAAGAAAACCUUUGGAACAGGAAAAGAAGAGCUCUUUUGACAAAGCAAAGGAGGAUCACAGAGUUCCAGCCCUGGGGGCUGCGUCUGGGGGUUUCCUGGCAUUAGAGGAGCUGAUGGUGAAUUUUCCCUCAACCAUCACCGGAAAUGUGAAACUCAGUGGAGCUCCCUGUUCCCACAGGGUCACAUUCAAGCACAAUUCAAAUAUGAAUACAGUAAAAUCAUGAGAUCCCAGCUACUCUCAACAAGGCUUAC